GCCUGGCAGGUAAGCCUCAUUGCAUGUGGCAAUGCAUGUGGCCUCACGCCAUUUCCAUUGCAAGAAUUCUCGAGUCUUCUCUCGAAAACACUGGGGGUCAAUGACACACUCAGCAUCCAUAACAUUCUACUCGCGACAAAAAUUGUUUUUGACAAAUGGGUAGAUGUGCUGAGGAGGUACCAUGACGGGGAGUUGCUAAACUCAAUGGGUGUGGAGGACGGCCGAAAGCCCAAUGAUUUGAAGCUCAACGCCUUGCGUUUCUCGCAGUCUCUAGACGACGACGACCUUCUAACAGUGGCUAAUGCUCUUCUACGUGGUGAGGUAGUCUUCAACAAGACCAAAAUGACUCCCAGCCAUAUUGUGACAUACGAGGACUUGUGCACGACUCUGAGAGCUCGUGCGCUAUUGAAGGAUUGGAUCUUCAAGCAAGUGGCCGUGGAGAGGGUGAGCAUCGACACCACGCAAGAGAUGAUGGAAGAGCUGGAGUUGUCAAAUGAAGACAUCGACGACUACGUGAAGGGGGCCCCCAAGUUCAUCGAUCUGCUGCGGGAUGCCACGAAAAGUAAAGCUGAGAAGUUGGAUCAGUAUCCAAAUUUCAUUAAGAGGGAUGUCGACCGCCGGCUUCAGAAACAGCUCGACCCCGCAGCAGAGGCCUAUCGAGAACCUUACCGGGUAUACGUGAAUUCGGAUGAGGAUCAAAGGUGGAGGAGCAUCGUUUCCCGCGGAGAUGAGCAGGUCAAGAACAUCUUUUGUGUGAUGGACUUCACAAACGAGGAGAUCACUCAUGUAGACGAAGUCAGCUCUAUCAUUGACUUAAUGGUGGGACUUGCGGAGGUGGAAUCUUCAGUCCACUAUAUGAUCUACGACUCCAAAUCCUAUCACAAGUUCUGGAAGGCCUUGAACGAGGUGAAGGCUCGGUUGAAAGGCAAGGAGAUGCAGGAGAUCCAUGGGAUAAUGGCGAAGAAGAAGAUACCGAUGAAUGUCCGCAUCUUCACACUCGCCCUUGUUAUUGGUCCUGCAGCAGAGUGGGACUGGAGUGACUUCCCAGCUUCGUUCGACAAGGCCGAUCGAAUUGAUCUGAGGGAGGUCAAUUUACCCGUGCCUGAGGAACUGAAGACGGCUAUGGAGCUUUCGAAUCCAGAGAAAGCUCCAGGUGCAGCAUGGGAAAUGCUCAGCUGGGUCUUCAAUGCAAUAGCGGGUGGGUCACCUGCUUCCGACUCCAAGGGCAAAUGCGUUGUCGAGUACAACUGCGGCAGACUAUUCUUUCGAGCCGCACUACUUAAGGGUGUCCCGUGUGUUGCAGUGACAAACUCCAUUGAAGAGGUGACUUCAAUGAAGCAUAUAAUUACAGUUGCCAAAGAAAAACAGUAUCUUCUCUACGAACCUGGUGAGUACGCACUUUAAGUUUAAAUGUUAUCUCACAAGCUCUGUAUGCAGGAGCGUGGCCACCCCCAGAUGCUGAAACGGCGUUAACAGCUACUGUUGGGCCGAGCUCACAACCUGCACAAGGUAAGGUCACGUGAGGCCUCACGCCAUUUUGAUUAUAGAUCGUUGUGAAUAUUCAGACACGAGGACUGAAAAGCGCACUGGUGGCGCGUCGAAGAAGGACAAACAGACAAGCAAUAGGAAAAAAGGAGGUACAAAUUAUAUUUGCAAUGGCGUGUGGUCUCAUGCCAUUCCUUGCAGGAGACACUUCUUCAAAGGCAAAACAGGCAAGCACCAGCCAAGCUCAAACUGACAGUGGUCAUAAAAAGCGAAAGCACGUUGGACAGUCGUCGGGAUCAGAGGCGUUUGAUUUGAAAAGGAAGAAGGGCAACGAAAAGAUGAUAGGUAAUGCCUCGCAGUCACCACCUCCUGACUCAGAUUCCUAUGGCGGACUCCCCUUCCCCAAUCUCAAUGGAGAGGUACAAUGGAUGAGGGAUGCUUUUCAAGUCAGGGCCACGUUUUUCUCAUCUCGUCGUCUUCGAAGGGUGCAAGAACGUGCAGAAACCAUGUUAAGACAGUCGGGUGAGGAUACGGUCCUAGGUCACACACUAAAACAGGCUAUGGAUGUCUUGUAUUUUGAGAUGGAGACUCAGCCAGAUGAUUUUCCCAAGAUGGUCCUGGAAGAACAAGCCAUCCAGCCUGAGCAGCCUAUGGAAGAAAUGCAGGAGGGGGAUGAGGAGCCAGAGAAAGAUAAUGAGCAAGAAGAGCAGAAGGACGAAGAGGAGGACAAAGAAGAGGAGGACGAAGAAGAGGAGGACGAAGAGGACUUGGAUGGUCCUCACAAUGGUGACGAUCACAAUAACGACGACAACGAUGGCCAGCUUGGGGUGGCAAAAGAGCAGCGGAGGAAGGUCAUACAAGACAAACCAUCAGGUAAAUAAUAGUACAUCCAUUCCUAACCUUUUACCAUAUCUAACAUUGUCCAUGUAGGUCGCAAAGCAAAUGGUAAGUAGAGAUUUUUCAGUUGAAUUAAGAUACAAACUCUAGCCUUUAGUGUCGAGGAAGGAUAGUGCCAAGCAAGGGUCGAAACGUAUGUCCAAUCCUUCAGAAUCAGCAGUGCGCCCAAGUGAUAUCGGUCCUAGUUCCUCAAUAGCAGUUGAUGGUAAAUACAGUAUAGUCGAUUCAAUGUGCUAAUGAGUUUGUUUUUAGUAGCCAGUAGGGAGGAUACCAUCUCAAUCGAAGGGAGAUAUUUGGACAUGCAUAUGGAUCCGCCAGUGGACUCUACUUGCCUGCAAGAGUCAUCAGAGCUGGUGGAGGCUACUAUCCAUAUCAACGCCAAGCAAGCUGACCACGCUCCACUUGAUGCUGCCCAUACCACUGAGUCAAUCUUGUCCACGUAUCCAACUGACGGUGACCAGGCACCAUUGGACCCGCAUGAGGCCGCCCCAGCCGCCGAGCCGGUCGUAUCCUCAUUUCCAACGGACUCAACGUGUGCCCAAUCGUCUGACUAUGCGCCGUUGGAACCUCCCUACACCACCCCUGCUGCCUAUUCGGUCAUGUCCACUUUGCCAACGGAGGCACCAGCUGAAAUGGCGUGUGAUCACACGCCAUCAGAACCACCCCAUGCCACUGUUGAGCCAGUUGUACCAGAGUCUACAGCUGAAAUGGCAUGUGCCCACACGCCAUCGGAUGCGAUUGACCCCACAUUGCAGAGGAGAGUAUUUCCACCCUUCACGUUUCCUCGACCAAAACCCUCUGAACGACCAUCGGGAGCACCAUUCGCUAAUAUUGUAGAUGGUAAAAUUGACUUGUACCAUUUUUUAUGCUGAUGCAUUUCAUUUCAGAGUCACGGCGAAGGUACUGUAUCGUUUUUGAUCUGAACGGUGUCCUUUUCUCCCAUGAGCGUGGCUCGUCCUCGAAUGUCACUGCACCCUCCAAAGCCUGCGGUCGCAAGUUGGUCAAAAGAGACAGAUUCACAUUAAUCACACGGGAGAAACUGCAGGAUCUAAUAAUGACCAUGCGACACUUAAAAUAGAGGGCCGGGUUCAAUUUGCAAUUGGGAGUUUGGACAUCCAUGAUGCGCCACAAUGCAUUAACGUUGUUACAGAUGAUGCACGAUCAGACGCGAGUAAUAUUACCAUUUGACUUUCUCCUAACGCAGGAGGAUUGCUUGACUAUGGUCCAUGUGAGGGGUAGCAAGCCCAUCUUCAUCAAGCCAGAGGCUGUAGUGAUGAACCGGACUGCUAGGUCAAGUGAAAUCCUCAUCAUCGAUGACUCGCCGAUUAAAACUGCAGCGAACACGCACACAUAUGCAGUGCACCCCAUCUCUUGCAGUAUGGAAACUAGGGAGAAGAAACCGUAUGUUCUGGGGGACCUUGCAGAACGGCUUGGAGCGAUGGUGAUAGAGAACCGGCCAGUCCAGGAGGUGGCUGCAGAAAUCAACCAAAUGGCAGAUGGAACGGUAUAUCAGAAGCCAUUUGAUCGGACAGACACCAGUCAUCAUUUAUGGCAUGUAUAUUGUCUAGCCAAGCACUAUCCGCAUCUCCAUAAUCUGCUCAACCGGAUGGGUUCUUCGACCACUGAACAUGAGCGUGAACGUAUUAGAGAAGAGAUGGCAUUACUAUUGGGUUUAAAUCUUGAUAGUGUGGAGAGUGAUGAAAUUCCAAGAUUAUUGUAUAGGCGUUGGAGGCAAAAAAUAACAGUCUGAGAUGGCAUGUAUUUAUUUAAAAAUGUAACUUAUUAUGGCAUGGGGUUCCAUGCCAUUGUAUUAAUAUUAAAAGACAAUUCUUUGAGAGGAUUUGCAUUAUACUAGAAGUGUUACAGCAUGUUAUUGGAAGUCUACGAAGUUGUUUUAUUAAUAAGGGGAAAGUAAAGAUUGAAUGGGGACUUGGGCUCCACCUAGACUCGGAGCAACUGAGCUAAUAUUAAAAGGAUGGAAAGAAAUUGGACGACGAUGACAAGGAGAAGAGAGAGGUGAAGCAGUGGCAGGGGGAGGAGAAGUGAUUGAGUAGACAUUUCCUUGUUUAAAAUAAAAUGGCAUAUGCCUCAAUGCAGUUGAAUUUUGUUAUAUUUAUAUACUAUAUAAAGGUUUGGAAACCUUAUUUUACAAGUGGGAUAAUGACAAUUCCCACUUUAACGAAAUAGAGCUUCUUACAUGGCAACUCAAGUGGUGGUGAACACCACCACUUAAAGUGGCCAUGGGGGAAGCCACAGUGUUACUCCCUCUCAUAUGGCAGCUUAGAUGGUGGUGAGUUCCACCAUUUAAACUUGUCAUGGGGGGAGCCAUGGUGUUGCUCCUCUUCAUGUGGCAGCUUAGGUGGUGGUGAGCUCCACCACUUGGACUUGCUAUAGGGGGAGCCAUGGCACUGCUCUCACUCAUGUGGUAGCUCAGGUGGUGGUGACCUUUACCACUCAAACUUGCUGUAGAGAGAGCCAUAGCACCACUCCUCCUCAUGUGGUAAAUCAAUUGUUAAUGAGUGCCACCACUCUAGCUGUUGUAGGGGGAGCCUGUAAGACACAAAUUUUUCCUUUCUAAUUUGCUAGCUCACCUCGUUUAUCCGACCAACACCGCCUUGGCUUUUAGCUAAGUUCCCUCGCCAAAGUUCUCGCCUAUUGUACCAGCUCCUACUUCGUCCUACUUGGUUUCAUCUACUCAUUACAUGAGUAACGAAGUGUUAGCUAUUCAUCCACAGAUUCCUAAAUCUCUCCCAAUCCCCCUCCCCGAGUUAGACUGGACUUAAAGAUUUAGCUACACUCCCUGCAGGCACAAGCAGCUAAGCACACUAAGCUUCCAGGUUCCUAACAUCCCUUAGUACAACAAGACUUGAUCAUGGGACCCUCUAAAUCCCAAGCCUUGGGUGCAACACUUGCUUCAGGACGCUGGUAUGAGUACCUCUACCCCCGACUUCCAUCCUGAAGGGAAGGCCCAAGCCCCUAGGAAGGGCGAGGACUAAUAAGCCACAAGGUACUCAAGUGAGGCACCACUCCAUAUGAGCUAGAAGUACCGUAGUCGGUUUCCCUUCCAAGAGUGGGAGCUGCUCUUGAGCACUUCCUUGGGUGGCCCCUUUGGCACCACCUGAGUCCAUGCUCACUCCCACCCAAGGCCCCUUAGUCCCAACUUCAACCUCAAGUUAGUUUAGAAGCAUCAUUGGAGAGUUCUUUCAAGACUGAUUCCUGAACCUCACUAUCCCUACUAUACUUUUGGAACCACCUGCAGCCCCCCCCCCCCCCAGGAAACACACACUUUGGGCUUUCACCCCUUGACCUAUAUUAGUACUCGGACUCGGUCUCAGACUUAAUCUCAGACUCGAUCUGGGACCCGACUUCGGACUUGGUCUCGGACUCGAUCUUAGACUCGACCUUGGACCCGAUCUCGGACUUGAUCUUGGACUCGACUUCGGGCUCAACCUCGGACUCGGUCUCAGACCCGAUCUCGGAUCUCGCACUUUGUCUCAAACUUGGUCUCGAACUCAGUCUUGAACUCAGCCUUGGAGUCGACCUCAGACUCAAUCCCGGACUCUAUCUCAAACUCGGUCUCAGAGUCGGUCUUGGACUUGAUCUCAGACUUGAUCCCAUCCAAUGAACUCUUUAUCAUUUCAGUCGUGCUUUUGGGGAUCCUUUAGCCUAUGACACCUCGGGGAGUUGGUUCCUUACAGAGCCAUGGUGUUGCUCCCCCUCAUAAAAAAACAACAAAUAACAAAUGUGUGAAGAUUAUAAAUACUUGGUUAAAAUAAGCAAAGACAACAUACUCAAAAGCAUUACAAUUGAAGACAGAAGUUAAGAGUGUCAACUUCAAGUAGCAAUAUCAUCAUUAUGAGUAUAUAAUUUUUACUUAUAAAAAUUGAUAUUGUAAAUGAGAAGGUUUACAACAUCACAAUCAACUAAUUCCCAAGUUGCACUUAUGCAUACUUCUUUCAAUAUCAGACUUUUGAUAAAUUUUUCAUCCCUUGCAAAUAUAUGUAUUUUGUAUAUUGUAUUGCUUCUUGGGAUGGAUCCAAAUGUUAAACUUUGGAUUCAUUGCCCUGCAAUGUCUAAAUAUAAGAUGUUCAUGAUAUUAAUAGAGAGUUAGAUAAUGGUAUUAUAUUUAAAUUUAAUAUAAUAUAAUUAAAUUUUCAUUUAUAAAUCAUAUCUUAAAUGAUAUAGGGAAUUAUUAUAAUGGGGAUUUAAUAGUAAUAAUAAAAAAACUAAUAUAAAUACACAUUAUAAAUUAUGAGUGUUCGAGUAUAGGAAUAAGUAUAUUAAUUGGGGUUUAGACCCCUGCUUAUAUACAAGAAUAGAUUAACUAAAUUCCCAACUAGACAAUUCAUAUGCUAUAGUACUAUAAUUAUUAUAUUAUUUAGCCAAGCUUUUAUAUAUAUAUAUAAGGAUGGUGUAAGGUUUAUAUAUAUAUACCCCUCUAGAAGAUGAUAAAGGUUAUGGCAAUAAGCUAGGUGGAAUAUCUGGAGCUUCUACUAAGUAAUUAUAAAUUACCAUAAGAAUUUGAAGCUCUCACAAAAUCAUUAACAAAGUUGAUAACAACCAUGACUGAAACAAAACUCAAAGUUAUGGCAUAAGCAUUAAUCAACUAUAGAAUCCCAUGAACCAAUUGUAACUUCAUAUGCAACUACUAAAUGCUUAAACUAACCUCGAAACUAUAGCUUUGAACUAAACCAAGGGACUUUAAGAACCAUUAUAAUUUAUAAAAUACUAUUAUAACAAAUAAUACAUCCCACCUUUAAGUUUACCCACUAAUAAUCUUCGAAGACCACUAUUAACUCUAACUCAUGACUAUAAGUAAAACUUACCCCUUCAUUUUUGUCUAACACUACAUAUGGGACAUCAUUUAUCCUCUAUAUCCUCCUUAUCCCCUCCUCAAAUGAAAAAGAGUUUUGAAGCACUAACUCUAUUCAAAUUCAUUAUGCUUGUUUUUACUCUGCCAUCUAUAUUCAACCUUACUCCACUAUUGCAUUCAUUCAACUUCUUUCCACUAUUGCAUGCAUUUGGCUUUACUAUAUUAAGAUUAAAUGUUCUAUUUAUACUCGCUAUGUUCAUUUUCACUCCACUAUUAUAUUUGUUCAUCUUCAUUCCAUCGUUGAGGCCAGACUCUCAUCCGUCCUUUCUACCCCCUCCUCCAAAGAAAAAAAAUGUUUAAAAUGUUAAAGCAAAAAAGAGAAAAGGAGAAAAAUUGAAACAAUUGUGAAAGAAAAAAAAAAGUGGAUAAAGAAACAUUGGAAGAGGAGUUUGUAACAACUGAUAAUGUAAAAAUGGGGAAAUCAAAAUAAGGACAUGUGCUCAAAGCUUGGAAAAUAAAGCACUUCCUAUCAUAAAAUAUUUUGGCCACCACAAUAUAAACAAAAGAUUUAUACCGCUUAACUUCCUUAACACACAACUCAACACUUUAGACCAGAAAAUCAAUAAUAAUGUUUACAUUCUCAAGGGAAUAUAUAAACUCUUCACCAGUCACUAUCAUGAUCACACUCCACAUCAAUAUAAGAUGAUAGAACACUGUGAACUAGACAAGCUAUGUAAUCAUGUCCUAUAGAAGGUGGAGACGGCACCACAUCAAGGAUAAGUGCAACACUAUUAUGAUCACACUCCAUAACACCAAAAGUUCAAUCCAACGGAGUAGCAUUAACAGCCUUAAAUGAUAUACUCCUUGAUCAAUGACAGCAUGGCAUGGUAGAAAAAUGUACUGAAGAUUAGAAGAAGAAUCUAUCUAAGCACAACAAAAGCUAGAAUUCUAGAUCUUGCAAAAAAAUAAUACAAAUUUAGAUCUAAAAAAGAAUGAAGAAAUAAAAACCAAAAGCACAAUCUCAGAGCAAAGCACUAUUAAAAGGCUUUAAAUUGCAAUACCCUUAACUUUCACCAAUGUGAGUGUUUGGGAUAUAGGAAUAAAUAUAUUAAUUAGGGAUUAAACCCCUAUUUAUAUACAAGAAUUGAUGGAUCAGAUUUAGAACUAAAUGGACAAUUCAUAUGCAAUUAAUGUAUUACCUAGCUAUUUAUAUUACAUGUAUUUAUAAACUUUACAGAGGAUGCUAACUUAAAUAAUUAGCAUAAAUACAAAUAUUAAACUUAAAAUAAUAAUUUCUUCCGUAAAGAUAAGGCAAAAACUCUAUUAAAUAGCAAAAUACUGGUAGUUUACACAGAUCUAAAUACUAUUAAACUUAUUAAUUGUCAACAGUAAUGGCUCCCUUGGCUCCCUAUUGACAUGACUCCCUGUAUUGGCAAAUUUAAUCUAGCAUGUCUUUAUAAUUUUGGAAUCCCUCCAAAAGAGACUGAAUUCCAUCCAAGCUGUGCCUGCCAUCAAGGCUGUGCGUGCCCCGAGCCUAUAGUACCACGUUUGAACGAUGAGAUGCCCACCAUCACCGUCAAGAUCCUGCAAGAACAUACUACAUUUCAUCAACCGGCAAGGAUAAGAGAAAAAAAGAAAGCAGUAAUAUAAAGCAGCAGUCAUCUCACCCACAUUCCCACAACAAUGCAGAGCACUCCCAUUGAUCAACCCUUCAAACAUCAAGCCUCUAGAAGCAGCUCUGUGACAGAGCUAAGAUAAAUGCUCAUGUGCGCCUUAUGGACAUAGGGACUUCCAACCUACAUGUGAAAACUCCAAUCUAUGACUUGCAGGAGCAGGUCAGGCACUGAUCUAAAUUCUAUUCCUGGCCACAAGUGAUCAGGGCGAAGACUCCAAGUCUAUGCUUUGGAGAUUUACAAUGUAUCAGGCAUCCCUAACACGUCAUCCCCCACGUCAGCUUGACACGUUUUCUUGACGCUAGAGUUUAGGGUCUCGAUGGAGGCUAGUCGCGGAUCAAAUUCUUAGCGAGCUCCAGCUCCGGUGCAGUGAGGGAGGAAAAGCCAAAAGUGAAGUGUCUUAGCAAAUCAAUGCCACAUGGGAUUAACAUAUGUAGACACGACUCGUGCAUGGCCUUACACUACAUGCAUGUUACAACUGUCAGCCACUAUACUUUUGGCCAGUAAAAGCAUGUCUACUGACGCUAGCUUAGGGACGGCUGUGAGAAGUUGAAUGAAGUACUCAAAAGAAAAUCCAUUGCUAUAAGUCCAUAUGUGUAAGGAAGUUCACGUUAACUUUGCAUUCUAAUAAUAAUAAAAAAUCCCAGAUGAAUUGCCUGAAGACUCGGGCAAACCCUUGCGAUCAGCUUUCUGGAAGCUUUUUUUUCAAAUUUGUCUUCAUGACAACAUUGAGCAGUGUUCAGCCCGACCGCUGCAUCCACUGGCUCUGCGGAUGUGAAGCACUGGGAACCAUACAAAGCUUUGUUGACAAGGUCUCAUUGCACAAGAACUUGUCCAAGGGACGAUAUUCAUUUGGGCCUUGCUCCAUCUGCGUCACCAUUGCAUCUUUGGUGUUGACACAUCUUUAUGCUCCAUUUAUGGCCACCAUCAUCUGUGUCAACAUAUUAAGAGGCCUAAGCCUGAGAAUGCGGGGAUCAAGAAGAAGCGAGAAGAGAUGACUCGGAGUUGAAUGCCCUGAUAACGUGCUGCUAGCUGGGAAAUAUGCCGGCAAGCAUGCAUUCAAACCCGCGAAUAAGAAGUGGUAUGAGCCGCAUUAGUGACAGGCAGGAACAUAAUAGUCAACUUACAUUAAAACUGUUCGGCACGGCAAACAUCUGCUGCAGCCAGAUUCACGCACUUUAUUCUAUUUCAUAUAUAUCUGAGAGCAUCUGUCCGAUGGCGUGCCACAUCAAACGGUGAUGGAGGUGUAGUUGCUGGCAGUCUCCUCGAUUUCUCCACAAGCGUUCCUCCAGCAGGGUCCAGCGAUGCAGUUCCCUUUGCCGCAGUAAGCACGCCCGGUUCCACACCAGUUGAACUUGCUGCAGCAGCGACCAGGAUUGCAGUACUGACGUCCUGCGGGGCUGCAGGUCGGAUCAGCAUUGACGACGAAGUUGGGGGCUACAAGUAGCAUGAUCAACAGAGACAAGCCAAGAGGUGAUGCAAACGCCAUUCUGAGUAGAACAAGGAUUACAAGCGCGGUAGAGAAAGAUGGAAUUGCC
rnacentral:lncRNA from 1 species